UGUAAUUGGCUGCAGGAAGAUUUGGACAGUCUCAGUGAAUGGGUACGAACAUGGCAGAUAGAAUAUUAUGUGAAAAAAAUGUGAUGCCAUCUGUUUUAGUAGGAGAAAUAGAUAUAUGGAGUAGUUUUUAAAUGGCAUGAGGUAGGAAAGUGUAAUGCUAGGUAAAGUCAGCAGAUUUCCUUCUCAAAAGGACAUUGAUCGACAAGAUUGUGUUUUUACAACAAUCAAUAGUUGUUCUAUGGUCAUCAUUAGAGACUUAAUUCAAGAUAUUGCUUUGUAUUGAAUUUAAAUUCAACCAUCUGCUAUGAUAAGCUUCAAAUCCAGGUCCUCUGAAUAUUUCCUGGAUCAUUGGAUGUAUAGUCCAGUGAUAAUACCACUAAGCCAUCACCUCCCCAAAUUGUUAACUACAACACCAGAUAUGGCAGAGACUUUUCAAUUGCUGUGGAUGAGAAAUUUCUAAGAUUGCUGCACAUUGAAAAAUCUUUAUAAUUUAAGGUAAAACAAAUGCUAUGAAAAUCAAAUUGGUAGGAGUUUCCACAACACUGCGGGAACACACCAUGUAGUUCUGUUACCAUGGCAACAUGUUGCGACAAGAAAGUGACAGAGUGAGUGGGCGUGCUCCUUUGAGAGACAAAUGAUUGCAGCUAACACAGUCACAUCAUGUGACCCUCCAGAAAGUUCACCAUUCAGAAAAUAUGGGAAGAAAGAUGGUUUAUGGACAGAGACACUUCCCUUGGCAGUCUAAGGAAUCCAGAAGCUCCAAUCUGCAGAGGCUAAGAGGAGAAGGAUUCAUCCUAGUCGUCCUUACGACUGUUAUUCAGUUCAGAACUGCUCCAGAAAUUGAGAGAAACACCAUCUGGCAGUCCACCAAGUUAUGCCCAAAAAAGACAUCACUGGAUUAAAGGGUCUUGACAGGAUGGAUGUGAAAAAGCUGCUUACAUUUGAGCAAGAACUAGACUGAAAUAGAAAAAAAAAGAACUGUUUAAUACUAAAGAUUGUUGAAGGAUUUGCUGCACUCUUAAAAAGCUAGUUACUGAACCUCAUGGUGAGCCAUGUUUAUACUGCUGCUUUUUUUUCCCAAGUGAUGAGGAAGUUGUUGUGGAUGGCCUGGUGCUAGAGGCUGUGUACAAAGUGAGAUUCAGUCAGCAGUGUGAUUAUUAAUUGGGUUGUGGAGCAGUGAUCCACUAUGGUUGACAAAGGCCACCAGCCUGACAACAAUUCUCUGGCUCCUGGGUGGUGUAGCCCGACGCUGACAGAAACCUUCAGACUGCUGCAAGGGACAGAUGGUGUGUCUUGCUCCCCCUGUAAAAUGCAGAAAACUUGAAGAAAGCCAGUGUACCUACUCUCUGUAGCUGUAAGCUGUGACUUUUAACCAGCAGCAAUGGGACUUUAUAAUUAAUGUACCAAGCAACUUUGGCUGUUGUGAAGAAAUGAAAAGAACUUGCAGAAAAGAGAUUGAAGAACAGUCAGUCUUGGCCAAGAAAAGGGCCAUUUCAGUGAACCCUGUGGACUGCGGCCAUUGAACUGCCAUCCCCAUUCAUUUUUCUCCAUCCAUAAUGCCAUUUAUUUUUGUCUGCCUGUGUGUGUAGGGCAAUAGAUUUAUAAGAGGAUUAGAGAUAUAACUAACAGCAUCAUAGGUCAGCAGUUGAUAUAUGUUUAUCUGUGGUAGAAUCUGUUUACUUAUAAUAAAUAGUAGUUAUUGUUCUGUACAGAAACCUGGUCAAUGAUUUCUAUUACCUUGCGUCUGUCUGAGAGGUGAACUGGAGACAUUACGCACUUUUAUUAAUAUUUUUACUGUUUUGUAACCACUCAGAAUAGAUUUAGGGCUUAGAUUUAGGGCUUGAUGUGCAGCAUACUAUCCCAGGGAGGUGUGACAGGAAGAAAAUCAGUUAUUGUUGCCCAGUGUAGCCCCCAGGUGAUUUCAGACACACAGCAAUAGGGCUAACACUUGACUGCUCUCAAUGGGCCAACAAGACAUUCAGUUGAAGAACAAUUUUGGAUGGGCAACAAACACUUGCCUUGCCAGUAGCACCCAGAUCUGCUAAAAGAAUAAAGAAAAUUAAUUAAAAAUACUGCUUAUGAUAACGUAUUUGUAGUUGCAUUAAA